rnacentral:misc_RNA from 1 species
AAUCAAUCAAACCUUGGUUUGGUAUUGGAGGAAGUGGCAUUGCCUCUCCUCUGUAAGCUAUUGGCGGCGCUGCUUCAGCUUGUAAGACGUAGUAAGUAAUUCCUCGUCGAAGCGACUGUGUAGCUGCCUGCCAACUAAAACGAUUUAUUUUAACA